ACCAUGGACCAACCAAACCAAGGAAGAGAGGCGAAAGAAAACGAGAAGUUGGGAAGGUUAGGAACUCUUAGGUAUAUUUUGAUGACCACCUGAAGAGCAACGUUCAUCACCAUCCGCGUCACCAUCACGGCCACCUGUACUGCUGCUUGUCGUCGUAAAGGCAAGAGUUAGUACCCAGUUAACAGGGGCGUCAUCCCGCGCGCGCCAUCUACCGCCGGGAAAAAAGUAAAGAGGAAAAAUAAAAAGAGUCUUCGCGUCAUUCGGAACUUAUGCAAUGUCAGAGAUGUAGAUUCUUCCACCUCGAGCGUAGUAAAGCUUAAAAUACACCUUGGGAAUUGGUCUAAGAGAGAGAGAGAGAGAGAGAGAGAGAGAGAGAGAGAGAGAGAGAGAGAGAGAGAGAGAGA